UAGUCCAGCUUUUUGUGUCUGUAAACCGUGGAAAAGAUGCCUUUACACAGAGUGCCAUCUGUUGGACAUUUAUAGGAAAUUAAUCUCAGAAUUUUGUGAAGAUUUAAUUGCAACUAACAUAAAUUAUUAUUUUAAAAUUAAUAUUGAAGAAUGCUUUAUGAAUUUUUUUUUACAGGGGCUGGCAUUAAAUUGAAUGAGCUACGUCAUUCCGACAGAUAACAUCUAGUUGAAGAUGGCUUAAUCUGGUUUCUCAGUGCAUAAGCCCCAUAUUCUAUUCGUUCAUGGUAGAGUCACUCACUGAUCACCAGUGAAUUAUAUUCUGUUAGAGAACCUCCUUUACUAGUAACUGGUGCACAACAACUGCAAAAAAAUAAUCUGUAGACAGUCUGUGCAAUGUGCUCUGCCUCUGAAAUUAAUGUUGUUGACCCCUGUGAAAUACAUUAUAGAGACAAUAUUAUUGAUUAACUCUACAAUUUAACACUAACUGAGGAUGAUUUUCCAGGCAAGUUUCAUUGUAUAUUUGCUGCUAUCAAUACAUCAGUAAAUGUUGCCAAUUUACUGGUAUUACCUUA